UACGACCAUAUCACGUUGAAACAUCGUUUCCAGUACGAUCACCGAAGUUAAGCAACGUCGAGCCUGAUUAGUUCCUAGAUGGGUAAUCGCUUCGGAAUACCAGGUACUGUAAG